rnacentral:lncRNA from 1 species
GAGAGGUCAGAACUGUCGAAUAGUGAAAUAGGGGAGACUUUAACUAAUAAACUGUACUAAUUGGCCAACCCAAAAAUUCUAAAAAUUUUAUGAUAAUUAGAUAUAUGAGUAUAGUUUUAGGGAAAAUUUACAGAUUUAAAUUUUGAGUUUCGUAACUUGAGUUAUAAUUAAUUUAGCUACUACUGCGCAGUUGGAUAGUUUUAUUGUGAACAGUGAAAUAAAUUAUUUUAAUUUGUUUAAGUAUUUGGAAAAUUUUUAAUGUUCCCAUUUUGGUAAGUUAAGUUAGGUAACGCAUCGUGCCUGAUUCCAGCAACGGUCUCGGUUAAGGGGUGUUACAUAAAAAGAUGAGGAAUAGUGGGGGAGACCAUGAGGAAGAAUAAGAUAAUAAUGGCAAUAGUGACAAUGGUAAGAAUUAUGGUAAUGGGAAACCAUAGAAUGGGAAGAUGAAACCCAACAAUCCUCCGAAGGUCAAAGAGAAUGAAAAGAAGUUAGUGAAAUGUUUCUUGUGUUGUAGUCCGCAUAGGAUGCGAGACUGUUCAGAGCAAUCCAAGCUGUUUGCGACCAUUAAAAAUGAGAAAGUAGAUCCCGAUGAGAAAAAGGUAUUAAAGCUUAGAUCAAUGAUACUCAAUUCUGUGAAAGCAAAAAAGGACCGCAAUUAAAAAGAAUUGAUAUUUGUGGACAUCAACAUUGCAGGCCAAAGGAAAAGUUCGCUUAUUGAUACGAGGGCAUUCGAUUUGUUCAUAUUGGAGAAAGUCGUGGAUAAACUUGGUCUCUCAGUUAGCAAAUUGACUAAGAAGAUCAAAACUAUAAAUUCCAAAGAGGUCUCAACUAUGGGAGUAGCAUAAGAAGUUGAGCUACAGAUUGUUUAGUGGAAAGGAAAUGAAGACUUUGAGGUAAUUCAUUUAGAUUAUUACAACUUUUUUCUUGGCUUGAAUUCUCUUGACUAUAUUAAUGCUUUGUUGGUUCCUUUUUUCGAUUGCAUAUGUAUCUUGGAUACUCGUCAUCGAUAAUGUGUUAUGCUAGUGAGUCGUGAUGAGAAAGGUGGAACCAAUGUAUUAUUGGCAAUUUAGCUAGCAAAGGAUGUUUAUUGUCAUAAGUGUUGGAUCUGGU